rnacentral:rRNA from 1 species
UACGGGGUGAGCAAGCGUUGUUCGGAUUUACUGGGCGUAAAGGGCGCGUAGGCGGUCAGCACAAGUCAGUUGUGAAAUCUCCGGGCUUAACUCGGAAAGGUCAACUGAUACUGUGCGACUAGAGUGCAGAAGGGGCAACUGGAAUUCUCGGUGUAGCGGUGAAAUGCGUAGAUAUCGAGAGGAACACCUGCGGCGAAGGCGGGUUGCUGGGCUGACACUGACGCUGAUGCGCGAAAGCCAGGGGAGCGAACGGG